rnacentral:rRNA from 1 species
GAUGAACGCUGGCGGCGUGCCUAAUACAUGCAAGUCGAGCGAACAGACGAGGGGCUUGCUCCUCUGACGAUAGCCGCACGCGGGUGAGAAACGCGUGGAUCCCGUACCUAUGAGACUGAGAUCACUUCGAAACGACUGCUCUAAUCCCGUAUAAUAUCUUCACCCGCUUGGUUCAAUGGUAAAAGACGGAUUUGCUGUCAGAUAUAGACGGAUCCGCGCCGCUUGAGCUAGUUGGUAAGGUCCCGGCUUACCAAGGCAACGAUGCGAACGGCACAUGAGAGGGUGAUCGGCCAGACGGGAACUGAGACACGGUCCAGACUCCGACGGGAGGAAGCAGUAGGGAAUCUUCCGGAAUGGGCGAAAGCCUGACGGAGCAACGCCGCGUGAGUGAUGAAGGUCUUAGGAUCGUAAAACUCUGUUAUUAGGGAAGAACAAAUGUGUAAGUAACUAGGCAGGUCUUGACGGUACCUAAUCAGAAAGCCACGGCUAACUACGUG